UCCGUUAGUAGUGGCGAGCGAACACGGACCAGGCCAGUGCUCUUUUCGAAUGAACUGGAACCGUCUGGAAAGUCGGGCCGUAGUGGGUGACAGCCCCGUACAGGUGAGUGAGAAAAGAGACUUGAGUAGGGCGGGACACGUGAAAUCCUGUCUGAACAUGGGGGGACCACCCUCCAAGCCUAAGUACUCCUACAUGACCGAUAGUGAACCAGUACCGU
rnacentral:rRNA from 15 species